GUAACACGUGGGUAACCUGCCUGUAAGACUGGGAUAACUCCGGGAAACCGGAGCUAAUACCGGAUAGUUCCUUGAACCGCAUGGUUCAAGGAUGAAAGACGGUUUCGGCUGUCACUUACAGAUGGACCCGCGGCGCAUUAGCUAGUUGGUGAGGUAACGGCUCACCAAGGCGACGAUGCGUAGCCGACCUGAGAGGGUGAUCGGCCACACUGGGACUGAGACACGGCCCAGACUCCUACGGGAGGCAGCAGUAGGGAAUCUUCCGCAAUGGACGAAAGUCUGACGGAGCAACGCCGCGUGAGUGAUGAAGGUUUUCGGAUCGUAAAGCUCUGUUGUUAGGGAAGAACAAGUGCAAGAGUAACUGCUUGCACCUUGACGGUA
rnacentral:rRNA from 1 species